rnacentral:rRNA from 1 species
CGCCCUUAGAGUUUGAUCAUGGCUCAGAUUGAACGCUGGCGGCAGGCCUAACACAUGCAAGUCGAGCGGUAGGAGAGCUUGCUCUCCACGAGCGGCGGACGGGUGAGUAAUGUCUGGGAAACUGCCUGAUGGAGGGGGAUAACUACUGGAAACGGUAGCUAAUACCGCAUAACGUCGCAAGACCAAAGCGGUUCGUCGCGCCAUCAGAUGUGCCCAGAUGGGAUUAGCUAGUAGGUGGGGUAAUGGCUCACCUAGGCGACGAUCCCUAGCUGGUCUGAGAGGAUGACCAGCCACACUGGAACUGAGACACGGUCCAGACUCCUACGGGAGGCAGCAGUGGGGAAUAUUGCACAAUGGGCGCAAGCCUGAUGCAGCCAUGCCGCGUGUGUGAAGAAGGCCUUCGGGUUGUAAAGCACUUUCAGCGAGGAGGAAGGCAGUAAGUAAUCUUGCUGGUUGACGUUACUCGCAGAAGAAGCACCGGCUAACUCCGUGCCAGCAGCCGCGGUAAUACGGAGGGUGCAAGCGUUAAUCGGAAUGACUGGGCGUAAAGCGCACGCAGCGGUUUGUUAAGUUGGAUGUGAAAUCCCCGGGCUUAACCUGGGAACUGCAUUCAAAACUGGCAAGCUAGAGUCUCGUAGAGGGGGGUAGAAUUCCAG